CGGGGGGGGCAAGCGUUGUUCGGAAUUACUGGGCGUAAAGGGCGCGUAGGCGGUUCGCUAAGUUGAAUGUGAAAACUCUGGGCUUAACCCAGAGCCUGCAUUCAAUACUGGCGGGCUAGAGUUCUGGAGGGGAUAGCGGAAUUCCUGGUGUAGCGGUGAAAUGCGUAGAUAUCAGGAGGAACACCGGUGGCGAAGGCGGCUAUCUGGACAGAGUCUGACGCUGAUGCGCGAAAGCUAGGGGAGCAAACAGGAUUAGAUACCCUGGUAGUCCUAGCCCUAAACGAUGGAUACUUGCUGUGACUGGGAUUGAAUCCAGUCGUGGCGAAGCUAACGCAUUAAGUAUCCCGCCUGGGGAGUACGGUCGCAAGGCUG
rnacentral:rRNA from 1 species